rnacentral:rRNA from 1 species
UCUACCCUACCCUGAACACGCCUGGUCUUAUCUGAACUCAAAAGCUAAGCAGGGUCAGGCCUGGUUAGUACUUGGAUGGGAGACCUACAGGAUGCUGUAGGCUUUGGUGGGA